rnacentral:misc_RNA from 1 species
UUUCCGUAGGUGAACCUGCGGAAGGAUCAUUAUUGAAUAAACCUGAUGUGGCUGUUAGCUGGCUUUUCGAAGCAUGUGCUCGUCCGUCACCUUUAUCUCUCCACCUGUGCACAUUUUGUAGUCUUGGAUACCUCUCGAGGCAACUCGGAUUUUAGGGUCGCUGUGCUGUACAAGUCGGCUUUCCUUUCAUUUCCAAGACUAUGUUUUUAUAUACACCAAAGUAUGCUUAAAGAAUGUCAUCAAUAGGAACUUGUUUCCUAUAUAAUUAUACAACUUUCAGCAACGGAUCUCUUGGCUCUC